rnacentral:antisense_RNA from 1 species
AGCCGGUGGUUCAGGUGGCCGGUCGGGCUGGAAGGGCGGGGAUGAGGGAUGGGACGCAUCCCGGGGGAUGCUCCUCCAAAGCUUUUAUCGGGCGAGCGCAGUGGCUCACGCCUGUAAUUCCUGCACUUUGGGAGGCUAAGGGUCUCACUCUAUUGUCUAGGCUCGAAUGCAGUGACGUGAUCAUGGAUCACUGCAGUCCUCAACUUACUGGGCUCAGAGAUGGGGUUUCACCAUAUUGGCUAGGCUGGUCUCGAACUCCUGACCUUGUGAUCCACCUGCCUUGGCCUCCCAAAGUGCUGGGAUUACAGGAUGAAAGGCUUCCUAGCACAAACACCACCCCUGGAGUUCCCGGUACAUCAAUACCAGCCUGGGGAUCACGUUCUCAUCAAGAGUUGGAAGAGGGAAAGCUUGAGCCAGCUUAGGAGGACCUUAUCUGGUACUCUUGAUGAACGAAACAGCAAUCUGAAUGGCUGAAAAAGGAUGGACCCAGCAUUCCAGGGAGAAAACUUGGCAUUCUUUGGGAAUCUAACAGGAUGCAGUGAACCCAAGCCUUUUCAAGAGCUCACC